GCGUCAGCGUCAGUUUGAACUUUGACGCGGCGUUGCGAGGUCGUUUUUUUCUCUUCGGUUGCCGUGGCAGAGAUCGGGCAUCUCCUGUGCACUAUUUACGUGGUUUUAGUGCGUUUUCUAAGACAACGUGAUCACAAUGAUUCAUGUGAAACAUACUGGCGAUAUCUCGGAGAAGUUUCGACGCUAGGAAGACACGGCGUCCUCAGAAGAACCGGACGAUGAAACGCCAAACGGACUGCACAUAAUGCUUCUUCCGAUGUUAAGAGGAGCUAGAGGAACCUGAGAAACAUGGUUAGGACGAGUAUAGAGAUUAGGAUCGUUUGGUGAAGAGGAAAAUGGUACAUGCCGCGACCUACAUGGACGGAGGUGUCAUCUUCUCUGAGAAAGUACAGGUGUCAGGUGGUCAACAAAACGCCGUGUUCCCUGUUGUUCAUGUUGUCCGUGAGUGCAUCGCAAAUUCAACACAAGCACAUGCCUCGUCUGAACGCAGUGAGUGAUUACCCGUGUGCGACUAAGUACGUGAGAGAUGUAUCGAUUAUUUCUUUAUCCUUAGUGUAUGCUCAUAGCAGAAUAAACAAUAGUUACUUGAACUGUA